GCCGGUGCUUCCCCAGCACAGCUGGAGCCUGGGAGGGGAAGCGCCCAGCCGGGAGCGCAGGGUCUGGAGACUGCCCAGCAAACCAUGAAGCCGGUAGCACUCAGGCUUUGGGUGUAGGAAUGUGUUGCUCCCUAAUCACAAGCCUUGAAGAACGGCAAACUGUUCCCUUGGCAAUGAGGCAGGAGUGACCUUGUUCUAGCGCCUAUGUUUGGGAAACUUAUUUGGCUGAUUUGAUUGUUUCCUCGCAGCUGGUGUUCACGCGCUCAAGAGAUGGGUUCGUUAUCUUAUGUGCAUGUACACUGCCUGGCCUUUUUAUGCGCAGGAAUGUAACCACUAAGAAGUGUUGUAAACAAAGUAAGUAAAGAAUAAAAGCCCCAGGAAAAGUUCCUGGAGGUAGAGGGGCUUUUCGACUACCACAGACCUGGUGUUCUGUUUCCUUUCCUGCGUCGUCACCACAGCUGGUGACCCCGAUGUGAUAACCCCCUACUCACCGGCUGGAUAUGCCGAGCGCGCCCGCGGCUGUUUGCCGCCCCUUAUUCGUGAGUAUGGGGGGCGAACUUUCCAGUGCCCAGAAGGAGCACACAAGAGAGUUCAAGAUUACACGGCAGCGAUCAUGCAUCGUUGUCCCGGUCGCUCAUAUUGAGGACCCCCUAAGGGAAAUAGAUCGCCAGUGCCCCUGGUAUCCGGACUGCAGGUCGGUAUGGCUUCUUGACUGGAAAACAGGUUGGAAACUUUGAGGGCAUAGAGGAAGGAAAGGAAUAAAAGAAGUGCUACCCAAAGACCCUAGCAGCCCUGCCAUUUAUUGAAACAAGGAAACUGAGUCUAUGUAAAGUCCAUCAACGAAAGACUGCUUUGGCUCCACACUGGAAAGGCCCUUUCUAAGUCCUGUUAACCACCAACACCACUGUGAAGUGCCAAGGACUGACUGCCUGGACCCAUGCUUUUCACUGUAAAAAGACCCCUCCACCUCGGGAGGACUCUCCGACUAAUGAUAAGCCUAUUUCUCCUUCUAGCUCUGCUGUGUCUUCUGGACAGCAAGAAAAAGAAAGAAAGAAAAAAAAAAAAAAGACAAGGUGAAGUGCUAGUAACCUCUCCCUUGUCCACUGACAGACCUACUGUGCCUCUGGAUUUUUCUAGAAGAAGCAAAACCAUUACAGGGUGAUGUGCUAGUAACCUCUCCCCUACAUGAUGCUAAACCACACUGUUUCAGGAAAAGAGAAGAAGGAACACUUGCUUAAUUGAAACCACAAAGUCCAGGAAUUCCUGACUACAAGAGACAUUAAGAACUGACCCUGGUGAAGAAACAAAGAAUUAUACACUAGCAGGAAGAAAUUUGUGGAACCCAUUCUUGGGAAUGUGGUAUUGAUUAGAUUUUAAGGUUUAUUCUACAGGCUGCGCCCUGUGUUUUGGAUAAGUCCUUCAGUAUGUAUUGCCCCCCUUAAUUAGAUUUUAAAUGAUAAGUACCAAAAGCACCUUGUUGCUAUUGCCCCUGCCAUCUCCUCCAUCACACUAUUACCCCUGUAACACAUCCAAAUACAGACAAUGCUAUAUAUUUGAUAAAACCAAUGGCCAAGACCUUCACACUUUAGUGACCAGCGAACCCCAAGAAUUAAUAAUUGCAAUUGAUGGGCUCUAUAGCGAAUGUUCCUGGAAUUUGCACUGUGUUAAAUGAGAGAGGCCUUUAUUGUUAUUUAGUCACCCAAUUAGUGAACCAUUAAACGAAAACCCCGAUACAGGCUGGAGUUGGUGAGUUACAUGUUAUCUCCGCCCUUAGUUCAAUAACCCAGAAGUUGCUAACAGAGAUGGUAUUGAAUAUCACUGAGGCUGGGAAGGCAUUGCAGUGGGAUCUAGCAUGUUCAGACAUUCAGGAUUUCCGGAAUGACUAGCUAAUGGCCAUUCGAAAUGAUCUAGAGCAUCAGGCUUGGCCCACUGCCCUUACAGACACAUCAGGAGUACCAUCUGAUCUGUGGCAUGAAGACAUACUUGGAGACUUUCUGGAUGGAAGUGCGGACGUUCUCAAUGCUCCUUCCAAGCAUAUGGACCGGUUGAGGGGGUGUGGGCUCCCACAUACCAAAUCCUGCCGGGUCCAUAGGGAGGAUGCAUGUGGGAUUGGGUAAUUUACCAAGACAUCUGGGAAAUUAGACUACCUGGUAUGCCCAAUUGAUUUUAGUAAGUGCUCCGGAGAUUACAUCUGACAUUUGGAUGGGGUUAGGGAGUCAAUGGACAUUUUGGCCGUUAGGACCCCCACAGCUUCAGUGUAUCCGUAAACUGAAGCCAGGAGAAGUUGUCACUGUUCAUGAUUGCGUUUGCUGGGAGGGUAGGGGACAAGGAACUACCCUGACAGGAUACUUACUGUUUUAAGCUAAUGAUAGCUGUGUGUAUGUUAAAGCCUCCACAUUGCAAGACAUACAUUUUAAUCUCAUUACCACUGCAGGCAAUCAUAUUAUUUACUGGCCUGCAGAUAGAGUUUUUUUAAGUAGCCCUUAGGUUCCAGGUACCCUUUAAUUGGACUAGUUUAGUACCUGAUAGAUUUCAGAAUUUGUUUUCACUGUUACCAGAGAUUCAGAAAAUCUCUGAAGUACAAGGGCAAAUUCACAUGCUUUAAAAUAUAUAUUAAGUUGAAAAGUAUGCUUUCCAGACAGCUUAUAGAGUAUCCAUUUUAUGUACUAAAUAGGAUGUAUUGUGCUUUAUGAUUAAGAUUGUACAACAGCCCCAUUAUAUUAUUGCUAUGGGAAUGUUAUUGCUUGUAUUGCUAUUAGUUAGCUUAGGAUUAUGUUAUUAUUGUUGUAAAAGACGUAAUAAUAGUAAUACUUUUCAUGUUUAUGCUAAUCAUGCAUUGUCAUUACAUUCAAUCAGAACCCCUAAGAUUGAAGCAUCUGAUGUAGAAUUUGAAGUCCAGGGCUUAAUGCAAAUAGAGAUUUAAGAAUGUUUGUUGUACUAGAAGUACAAAAGGGGGGGUCGUGGAAGCAGAGAAAGAACUGUCAGAAAAGAACUGCUAUGCAUGACAGUUUGUUAGCCAGAGUCAGGCUAACUGUAACCCUGAUAACGCGAGAUUUGUAGAAGCGAGGAUUGUGUGAGGCGGGUGAGAAAGUACUGUGUGAGAAGUUAUUGUGACCUUGUAUAGAUAAGGUGUAGAAAACCUUUUGUAGAUAAGGUCUAGAAAAUAUUGUAUGUUGGCAAGAGUCAAAACAAGUAAGGAAUUAAGAUAUCAAGAUGGCCUAUGUAUAACGAAAUGCAGCUGUCCCUCAUUAUUUUUUUUUGUAAUGAAAGGUAUAAAUGCAAAGUUUGUUAAGUACCUGCCUUGUUCCUGUUUGCAAACCAUUCAAUUUGCAAUAAUAGAGUAUUGAUUAGGUACAGCUUUAUACCCCCUUUGUAGCAAAUUAUACUAAUAAUACUUGUGCCAAAGUAGUUAAUUGUUUUACUUACAGCCUGACUCUUGCUAACAACCAUCAUGCAUUGCAGUUCCCUUCUGUCAGUUCUUUUCUCUGCUUCCACAAACCCCAUGGGGGGUGUUUGGCAACUAGUCAAGCCUUAUGGGAUUGGCGUUUUGCUUUGCUGUUUUGUUUAGUGUAUACCCAAUCUAGUGGCAUUGUGUAUGCUACCCUGCGAGAGCGCUUUGUUUAAACACCGCAUCUAUAAAAUAAAAUAGGGGGGGAUGUAGGAAUGUGUUGCUCCCUAAUCACAAGCCUUGAAGAACGGCAAACUGUUCCCUUGGCAAUGAGGCAGGAGUGACCUAGUUCUAGCGCCUAUGUUUGGGAAACUUAUUUGGCUGAUUUGAUUGUUUCCUCGCAGCUGGCAUUCACGCGCUCAAGAGAUGGGUUUGUUAUCUUAUGUGCAUGUAUACUGCCUGGCCUUUUUAUGCGCAGGAAUGUAACCACUAAGAAGUGUUGUAAACAAAGUAAGUAAAGAAUAAAAGCCCCAGGAAAAGUUCCUGGAGGUAGAGGGGCUUUUCGGCUACCACAGA